CAAACGCAACCCUCAUUUUAUCCCUGAUUUGCAGCCCCCAAAAGACGAUUUGUUAGGGUUCCUUCCAGCGACUGCCGAUCCACCAUUUCAUUAGGUGGUCAGCGAUGCACAGGCCACGACCAGAUUUCCCCAACGACAGCACCAUGCGAGGAACCACGUAUGCCAUCUUAUUUCUUUUUUUUUAAACAUCUAGAUCUAAUGUUGUUCUAAAAAAUGAAACCGAAUAUAAAAAAGAAACUUAAUAUCAUCUGACCCUCACCCGUAUCUCAAUAUUUCUGAGAUAUUCGGGGUUUCAUUGGUGUCGUUCCAAACGUUUCUUUCCUUUAUGCUAAAGUCGUAAGGAAAUGAGAAGAAAAACAAACGGAUAAACAGACUUGAAGAUCACCUUUCUCUUUGGUUGCUUUGUAUUGCUUGCGUAUAUUUUCGUUCGUAAAUGUUCGUACUCGAUUACAAAGAUUAAAAUCUGGCUUUAUAGCCGAAAAGAAAGAGGAAAAUAAAUAAGAAUAAUCAAAAUACAAUAUGUGUUCCUUGUUUGCAUUUGCUGCUGUGUUUGCCUCAUUCGUUUGCAGGUACGGAGUACCGGGCACGGGCGUGGCUGCUGGAUGGUACGGAGGCUGGGGCUACUGUCCGAUUGUGGCGCGUCUACUGCUAGGGCUAGGUUUUGGCAAAAUUUGUUAAGCAUUUGGGCCGUUUGGGCUCAUUCCGGGUAUUUAGUCUUUGGGUCAUGGGUUAAUUUGGGUAUUGGUUUAAGGUAUUAGUUUGAGUCAAAGCCUGUAAAUGGACUGUGGUUUUUAUUUAUUUAUUUAUUUUUUGCUUUAUUUUGUUUUGUUUUGUUUUUGUUUGCUUGGGCCGGGCAAAUUUGGCCCACUACAAUUAUUAUUAUUAUUAUAAAAAAAGUUAAAGUUAAGUAAAUAUUUCAUAAAAAAGUUAUGAAUGUGUAGUUUUAUAUUAGAGUAAGUGAAUCAUUUUUUAAAUGUAAUUAUUAUAAUUAUAAGCAUAAUUCUA
rnacentral:lncRNA from 1 species